UUUUAUUUUGGUAGUUGCGCUACUUCCUGUCUGUUUGCGGCAUUCCCUUCAGUCCCUGGGGGACCGGCCUAGAGUAAACCCUCAGCUUUGGUGGCAAUCCUUGUGUGAGACUCGAUUCUUAAAAACACAGAUGACUUUGACCCGCACUGUCCCGCAGCAAGAGAGGACCGGCUACAUAAGCAACAGUAGCUUAUCCCUCAGACCUAAUUUUUGAGGAGCUCCAGAAAAACUUCCCGGAUGCCUCCACAGACCUACGGAGCGCUCUUUGAUGUGUCUCAGCUGAGAAGAUAAGACUGCCAGAUGGUAUUUUGCGUGGAAAUCUAUCGCUAAUCUCCUGGACUUCCUUCGUGGAUGGAGUUCAUGUAGUUGGAUUUGCUGUAAAUAAAAUGUUUUAAAUGCAAAUGCUUGCAGUGGGAGAAGACUUGCAGUGUUUGUUUUUACAAUAUAUGCCAUUGUAGUGAAUUCCAUCUAUUUAAAUUAUUAAUUUAUGAUGGAUUUGUUAACACUUUAUAUUAAUUGAUGUCAAGUGUUAAGUGAUGCAUCUGUAUGCAUCAUUUUUGGCCAAAUUUGGAAGAUUACACAGUUUUGUGUAGACUGCAACCUCAAUCUGCUUCAUCCUCAAAAGAACCAGUAACCUUAAAUAAUCUUGAGGGUUCGUCUGGUGCGGAAUCUCUCAGAACUUUAUCUUACAGAAAGAGUAGUAUGAUAUGAUUGAAAUCAGGCAAGCUGAAGUAGUGCUCUCAUUAGUCGUAGUGAUAUUUCAGUUUCUCCUUGUCAGUUUCACUGAUUCUUCUUUGAAAUUGUCCUGAGAUUCUUCCCAUCCUCAUGCACACAUACACGUUCCCACACAAUUUUAUUUUGUAACUGCUUAUAAAUUGAUUCUACUUUUGUAAAAGAUAAUCUUUUGUUUUCUCUUGUGAUAUGGUCAAUUUAGAACACAACUUACUGCUUGCAGCUUUUUCGUGAAUUAAUCCUGCUACUUUGCUAGAUUUUUCUUUGAAAGUAAGAUUGAUAAUCUUUAACCAAUAAUUAUUUUCCUAUUUUAUUUGAAGAGCAGUCCCACUUGAGAUGAUUUAUUUGUGCUUAAAUUGAACUAAUUUAAAAACAAUCUGUUAAUAAUACUGUCAAAAUUAAUGCAAUUUACUUAAAAAUAAUCUCACAGGAUACCGUAAUUAUGACAAUGAUCUUGCUUAAAUGCAUAAUGUACAUUUAUGUUGAGUUAUUUUUUUAUGUUUCUGCCCUCAGGUGAUGUGAGUUCUGCAUUUGGAUCAUUCCUCAGCAUGAACGAUGACUUGGCCUGUGAAUGGAUGUCUUUAAGAAGCACCAUUCAUUUUUAAUACAAGUCAUGUCUGGCCUUAGGGAGCCCAGUGAACUUGUAGUCAUCGUCAUUAUUAUUCUAAAUUAAAAAUACAAUCGUAAGUCAAGGGAAAUUUGGCGCUCUCCUGCUGAUAUAACCACAGAUCUCUCCCAAUAAAGUCAUAUGUUUGUGUUACAGUGCACUACAUUUUUUCAUCUCAGAAGUCAAUCAUGACACAGACCCUAAAGGUAAUUAUUUAUAGCUUCACAUCUUUGACAUCUGAAAGCAAUCUUGAAAACAAAAAAAAGAAUCCUACUAAUCUAAAUUUCAACAUAAAUUGUUUCCUAGAAUUUGGUCAAGAAGUGGACAUUUCUACCACAGAGAAUAUGCUUAUUCAUGUUACCGUCUCUGGAUAAGUUCAACAUUUUUUCAGUCCACAGUUGAUUCCUAAGGUCUUAGACUAUCUCUGAGUUCCUUCACAACUCACUAUAUCACAUAUCUUAAAGUGAAGGCCCGAGGGCCAAAUCCGGCCCUCUAAGUAAUUAUAUCCGGCCCUCAAGAUCCUGUUAUUUUAUUAUUAUUAAUGGCCCAAUGUUAUUUUGCUGUUAUUAUUGUUUUGGAUUUUGGCCCUCUGUGAGAUUGAGUUUGACACCCGUGUAUUAUAUAGUGCACUAUGUAAUGCAUUUGCCAUUUCGUAGUACUGUCCGAAUCUACAAUUCCAAAAUUCAGUGCCCUUGAAAUUUUGAAAGUCUUUGUGAAAACCCAGUGCGUAUCGAUGCUCAAUAGAUUGACAAUUAUAGAUCACAACACUAUGCUGUUUAACAAUUUUUGUAAAAAAAAAAAA